rnacentral:lncRNA from 1 species
GUCCGUGGAGUCCAUACAUUAAUUGACUACUAUUUACCACUAUCCAAACAAGGGGUUAGGGUUCUUUUUUUUCUUGUCUCUCCACUCAAACUGCCUGUCAAAGUCAUUCCUCUGUUUCCUCCCAAGUUAAUCUUCUGCCUUCAUUCAAUGCAUUCUUGUUAAGACUCCUUGGCCCAUGGAACCUGGCCCAAUCCUUCCUCCACCACCAAAACGAUCUCCAUACCCUAAAUUUUGGUGAUACAUCCUUCUAUGCAUGUGUAGCCCAUUUUGAAAUUCAAAAUUGUCCCACUCCGUUUUCUUCUUAGGUUGUAUCUUCCCUACCCGAUUCACCAUCUCUCCUCCACUCUAGACCACCUUUGUGAACGACCUCUCACCUACCACAUCCAUCAGGAUAUGGAGAUUCACCUAAUAGUAAAGACACAUAAUGACCUUUUUCCUCUGUGUAAUCUCUUUUUAUUUAUUUCUUCAGUUUCCUCACCCAUAACUACUACCUCCCUCUGUUUGUUAUACGAAUUGACCAAAGGUUAGUCUGUAGAUUCUUACAUCGAUCUUAUCACCUUUCACCAGCUUCCUACUUUGUGUCCUUCUGAAAUAAAGAUCCACUUCACUACUCGCCCUUUCUCUUAUGUUAGCACCAACAAUCUCCCAUUUCAAUUUCAUCUCAUCGCCACCCAAAGGUUGUGCCUUUUCCCGGUUGUGUUCCCCCGUGUUUUCCCCCCUUCCUCAAGUAAAAGUCUGCAAAUGCAUCCAUUAACCGCUCCACCUCCUUUUCCUCUAACGAAUUUGACACCUGAAAUCAUGUUAUGUUCUCAUUAAUGCUCGUAUCGUCCAUCUUCUUCCCCUCACAAAUUGCGUCAAACAAUUUAUUGUUUAUUA